ensembl:lncRNA
CAACACCACUGUAAAACUUUGCCUCGACCCCACUGCAUGGUUAUGGGGCUGUAAAGCUGCAGGAAUGCCAAGAUCGUGGCUGGUCAAGGACAGGGAGGGAAGGAGAAGGUGGGGAGGAGGAACAAAAAGCUGAGGCGAGAGCCUGGAGAAGGGGGACCUGCUGUCUGUUUGAACUUCACUGGGCAGGAGGCAGCCCUGGACCUGCACCCAGACCUGGGCCUGCACACCACAGGAGCAUACAAUGGUGCUGUGCAUGUCUUGUCCUGGCAUCAGAGAUGGAGUUCAGCUUUGAGGAGCCACUUCGAAAGUGAGAAAAUCUGUGGUGAGAUCUCCUUCAAGUGAGAUGCUGCCAUUCGAAGCUCUCAAUUUCAGGAUUUCCUAAUAACAAGGUGCCACAAGGAUGGAUAAAAUUCCUUAAAGCUGUGACAAAUGGCAGUCUUUUGGGCAGAAGACAGAUUUCCAACCUGUUCCACCACAUUAUCAGGCACCUGUUGGAGAAAGACCUGCUGAAAACCUCCAAGCUGCAAUAGGAAAUGCUCUGCCAGCAAACAAAAGUUUGCCAAAGAGGCCGCAUACAGCUGCUACAGCUUCUUGGGGCAACAAUUCUUGUUGCUGGUGGCUUCAGCUUUGUGGCAAGAAGCAUUUAUAUUCCUGCCCAGUGUGUUGGUGGGCCCUUCCCUGGGCUGGACCAUGGCUCCUGGAGGGCAUGCUGUAAUUAACACCAUCCAUCAUCAUCAGGAGCUGUGUGAUUAGGUUGUACCAGCAAAUUGCAUUACUCCCAGGAAGGGUGGGAUGUCCCUUUUGAAAAAUAGCCCCAUCAUUAGAUCUGAAGCAUCAGUGGGAAGCUAAGCCCAGCAGAUAAUCCUUUCAGAGCUGGCUGAUAUUCUCUCCAGGGCUUUCACAAAUUUGCUAGGAGAGAGCAGGAGGUGCACUUUGCUUCCUAGAGAAGGGCUCCCAGGGGCACCAGCACUGUCGUCCCACAGGUUCAGAGCCCACCUGGAGGUCACGAGGGCUCAGACAUGCCAGCAAUGGUAGACAGCAAUGAGAGCUUGUCUGAGCUGUGUUAACAGGGGAGUCUCUGUAGAGCUCAUUCUUCAAGGCAAGGUAGGGAAAAAGACUUGAUCCACUCCCCAUUUUUGGGGUGCUUUAGAAUCUCCUAAUCUCCUGCACACACCAAGCUUGCAUUCUACCCCAGUCUGAUCCUAUCCCUUUAAGGUUACUCCCAAGCUAUAGGAGGUUUGGCAAAACAGCCUGAACUUUUCUUUGAAACUCAUUUGGGCUCAUGGUCCCCCAGGGCUUUCCCAUUCCUCCACUAAGAAGAUUCAUGAUCUCUGCCGUGGAGUGAAGGGCACGGCUGUCCUCACUGGAUUGCGCCCACAGGGAGGGCAGGCUACCAUCAAUAACAAGGAACAAAGCAGGAGAUGGGGAGGGAAUCAAUUAGACUGAACCUUACCUGGAUGGCAUUUUGGGGGAGGACAUAGACAGCUUUGAAAUACAGGCAAGGAGCUGCUGGCUGCAGCUGGUUUCUAUUAACCUCUUCUGCAGCGGGCUGCAGACCUGUGGGAGCCCCAGCCAGAGUUUGGGAAGGUCAUUCUUAGGGGCUGUGCUUACGUUGCUCAUACAGCUCAGGAGAAGCCAUUCAGUGACCAAUACUGUGGAAAAAAACAACAGAUUGCAACAGGAAUUAGUUGGGCAGGAGGGGGGAUAGGUGGGCAUCAGUCUUCAGAGCACCAAUCUCCCACUUGCCAACAUCAUCUCCACGUUCUUCAGCAGGUGUUUAACGUGCGGAGCACUGCUGCACAGAUGCAGACAAGCUCCCACACUACUCUGGUUCCAGCUUUGGGGGUGUUUUCCAGGGAUUGACCCCUUUCCCCUUCCCCCAGAGCUCCAGCAGCCUGAAGAUGUGCAUUCAAUGAGCCGUUUUACUGGCAGCAGGUGACUAUCUCCAGCAGAGGAACUGGAGCUGCUCUGCAAAGCAUGCCAGUAACUGUGCUGCUAUGGGGACACACCAUGGGAAUUCGCCCAGGACUGGAUGUUCAGCACUAGCUUUGCAGCUUCUUCUUGCUUCAUGCUCCCAUCAGAGGACUGCUGUGUGCCGUGGUUGCCCCAGGCAGCUGAAGAUUUGCAGCCACCUAUGUGCUCCCAGCCAUCGAGGAGCAGCGAGAUCGGGGCUGCUCUCACAAGAAGGUGAAGCCAAGGUGGGACCUAUACCCUCAGCAUCCAACCAAGAUGGACACAACCUAGAGUCCAGGUCAUAUGGCAACACCAUGGUGAUGAUGGAGGUCCAAGGCAAAGCUGGGAACUCAUCCUGCAGGCUGAGGUCCACAUCAAGGAGCCCCAUGGCUAGGCAUAGGCUGAAGCCCAGCACUCCUGCAGUUCACAGUCUGGGAAACAUGCACAGAUAUGCUACCUUCUUAUUACUAAUGUUUAUUAAUUAAAGAUAGAGUUUACAGACUGCUUCUGCAAGUACCAUUCAUUCCCAUAAGACCUUUCGGGGUGACAGAGGUAUUCACCUCUGACCACCCCAUGCCUCCUCAUCCUUUGGGUACUGCUGUGGAACUUAGCCCAGUCUCCGUGUAGGAUGGAGCAGAGCGUGAGCGAUGCUGG